rnacentral:rRNA from 1 species
AAAUAAGAGAACAUGAUGUUGGUUCAGAUCAAAUGCUAUGUAGAGACAUAACACAUGCAAGUUAUAUAAAUACCACUUAAGGGUGGGAAAAAAUAGCGUUAAGGUGAGUGAUAUAAGAUAAAGAAAAAAUCUUAUUCAGAUGUAGGUAAUAGAUAAAAAUCUAGCCAUGGAACUGGAGCCGACGAUAAGCGUCACAACGGCCACAUUGAUGAAAAUCAACUCUUAUAUAGAGCAGCAGUGGGGAAUCUUUGACAAUGGUCUAACGACUGAUCAAGUUAUCUACGAGAAGGAUAUUAAAUAAAAAUCCCGCUUUGCGGGAUAAUAAUAAAUAAUAAAAGAUUAACUAUAAACUUCUAAAUAAUAGUAAUAAUGAUACUAAUUAUGAAAGAGUCCUAACUAAAAUAUGUGCCAGCAGCUGCGGUGUGCGACAAGAAGCUAUUCUUUAUAAUUCAAAAUCUUAUAUUAUUAUCUCUAUAGAUAUAUAAUAAUGGGCCCCGCCCAUAUAAAUAAGAUAUUUUGACAUAAUUCGUAACAAAUUUGUACCUAUCUAAACAUGCGUAAAAAGUAAUUUUUAGGUUUGAAGCUUUAGAGAAAAUGUAAUUUAUAAUUAAUAUCACUAAAAUUAUAAAUGCUAGGUAAAUUUACUAUGGUUAACUAAAGUUAACUACUCGAUGAGACCUCUUUAGGCUAAAUAUUAAUCGCCUUUAUAAAUAAAUAUAUAUACUUUAUAAAAGUAUUUUUUUUAUCGAAAUGAGGGCGAUACCCGCCCACCGAAGGUGGGCGGGCAUUUGUGAUAUUAUCCUUUUUAUUCUCGUCAUAAUUGGCGGGUUUAUUUAUAAGAUGAUUUUUAAUAUUGUCAGGAGUCUGGAUAGAAUCACCGUAUGUCUAUCCUGUUAUAGACGUUUGUACUGAUAGGGGUAAAGAGUAGAACCUAAGGUAAAUAUAGUGUAAAGAAUGGAACUUGGUAAGCCUCAUAUUUUCUAUAUAAAUUUACCCCCCGCCCGUAGGGCGGGGGGGGAUGAUAAUAACCCGCCCCUUUCAGGGGCGGGAUAUAUUAUGUAUAAAUCAUGUUAUUUAUAUAGAGGUUAUUUAUAAAAUAUAAAAUAUGGAAAUAAUAAUAUCGAAUAGGAGGUAAAAGACAACUUAAAAAGCGAAAGCAAUAAUGUAAUGUUAUUGAUAAGUAAAUAACUAACCUGAAAGGGUGCUGACUUAAGGAAAGGGUGUUUUUUUAAAAGAGGAUGCCUGAGCCGUAUGCGAUGAAAGUCGCACGUACGGUUCUAAAGGGGGGAAAAUCUGUGAGGAUCUACCUAUCCUAAUUAGACAUAGAGGGCAAGCAUUGAUCAGAAUGGCUUAAAGGAUCUGUAGAACGUAUCUUAAAAAAGAUAUAGAAUAAUAACUUGAAAAAGGAAGGGUAAUAAGAAUUAAAGUUAGAGGGAUAAAAUACUAAGAAAACAUUAAGACUAUAAGGAGAUUACUCAAGAUUAUUGACGUUGUGAGAUGAAGGCUACGGUAGCGACAUGGAUUCGAUACCCAUUUAGUCGUAGCAGUUAACUAUGAGUACAAUAAAAGAAAAAUGAAAAUGAAUAGUACUCCGCCUGACUAGUACGCUCGCAAGGGUGAAAUACAAGACAUUAGACGGUUGUAGUCCCAAGCAGUGGAACAUGUCAUUUAAUUGGAUGAUCCUCCAAGAACCUUACCAUCUCUUGAAUUUUUAACAGGCGUUACAUCGUUGUCGUCAGUUCAUGCCGUGAGGUUUAAUAUUAAGUUAUUGAAUGAACGUAACCCUUUUCUUUAAUGAUAAGUAUAAUUGUAAAAUUAUAGGAAGUAGAGGUAGAAGACUAAUCAUGAUGACCCUAAUGAGAUGGGCUAUCGACGUGUUACAAUAUUAAUAACAAUUUUAUUAACUUCCCCUUUUUGGGUAAGUUAAGAUAUUUAUAUACUUUGUAUAUUUAUUAAAUAUUAAGAUUAUGACAUAGUUUCAUUUAUGAAUUGUAAUCUGAAAUUCGGUUACAUAAAGGAGGAAUUGCUAGUAAUCGUAAACUAGAGUGUUACGGUGAAAUUUUUUGCUACUUCGUACUAACCACUCAUCAACAGCAAGAAAUUUUAUUUAUACUUAUUGAGUCUUUAUUAAAAGGACUUGCUGUAAGUUGAAAUACGGUUCGGUUAGGGGAACCUGAUCGGGAUUUAUUUAUUUA